rnacentral:rRNA from 1 species
UACGGAGGUGGCAAGCGUUGUUCGGAAUUAUUGGGCGUAAAGCGCGCGCAGGCGGUCUGGAAAGUCUAUGGGUAGAAAUGCCGGGGCUCAACCCCGCGCAUGCCCAGGAUACUGUCAGACUGGAGACACGUAGAGGCAAGCGGAAUUUCGGGUGUAGCGGUGGAAUGCGUAGAUAUCAGGAGGAACACCGGUGGCGAAGGCGGGUCUCUGGGCCGAUACUGACGCUGAGGAGCGAAAGCGUGGGGAGCGAACAGG